UACGGGGGAUGCAAGCGUUAUCCGGAAUGAUUGGGCGUAAAGGGUCUGUAGGUGGGUGAGAAAGUCUUCUGUUAAAAACCUGGGCUUAACCCAGUCAGAGCAGUAGAAACUUCUCACCUAGAGUACGGUAGGGGCAGAGGGAACUCCCGGUGUAGCGGUGAAAUGCGUUGAUAUCGGGAAGAACACCGAUGGCGAAAGCGCUCUGCUGGGCCGAAACUGACACUGAGGGACGAAAGCUAGGGGAGCGAAAGGG
rnacentral:rRNA from 1 species